CCAAAGGUCUUUAUCAAGACCACUGUUAACGAUUAUCAUGAAGAUAU
rfam:Anolis carolinensis chromosome 1, whole genome shotgun sequence.